rnacentral:rRNA from 1 species
GACGAACGCUGGCGGCAUGCCUAAUACAUGCAAGUCGAGCGAACAGAUGAAGUGCUUGCGCUUCUGACGUUAGCGGCGAACGGGUGAGUAACACGUAAGGAAUCUACCUAUAAGCGGGGGAUAACAUUCGGAAACGGGUGCUAAUACCGCAUAAUAUCUUCUUCCGCAUGGAAGAAGAUCGAAAGACGGCUCUGCUGUCACUUAUAGAUGACCUUGCGGUGCAUUAGUUAGUUGGUGGGGUAAUGGCCUACCAAGACGAUGAUGCAUAGCCGACCUGAGAGGGUGGUCGGCCACAUUGGGACUGAGACACGGCCCAAACUCCUACGGGAGGCAGCAGUAGGGAAUCUUCCGCAAUGGGCGAAAGCCUGACGGAGCAAUGCCGCGUGAGUGAAGAAGGCCUUCGGGUCGUAAAACUCUGUUAUAAGAGAAGAACAAAUUGUAGAGUAACUGCUACAGUCUUGACGGUAUCUUAUCAGAAAGCCACGGCUAACUACGUGCCAGCCGCCGCCGUAA